rnacentral:rRNA from 1 species
AUUGAACGCUGGCGGCAGGCCUAACACAUGCAAGUCGAACGAGUGGCGGACGGGGGAGAAAUGUCUGGGACACUGCCUGAUGGAGGGGGAUAACUACUGGAAACGGUAGCUAAUACCGCAUACCAUCGGAUGUGCACAGAUGGGAUUAGCUAGUAGGUGGGGUAAAGGCUCACCUAGGAGACGCUCCCUAGAUGGUCUGAGAGGAUGACCAGCCCCACUGGAACUGAGACACGGUCCAGACUCCUACGGGAGGCAGCAGUGGGGAAUAUUGCACAAUGGGCGCAAGCCUGAUGCAGCCAUGCCGCGUGUAUGAAGAAGGCCUUCGGGUUGUAAAGUACUUUCAGCGGGGAGGCGUUACCCGCAGAAGAAGCACCGGCUAACUCCGUGCCAGCAGCCGCGGUAAUAC